AAAGAAGGAGAGAUCAUGAAAGGCAACCAUGUGAAGAAGAACAAGCCUGCAGCUCAUUUUCUGCCCAAACCACUAAAAGUGGCCAUGUACAAGGAGCCAUCACUGCACGACCUCACGGAGUUCUCCCGAUCUGGAAGCGGGACCCCAACCAAGAGCAGAAGUGUCUCUGGCGUGCUGAACGGAGGCAAAUCCAUGAGCCACAAUGAAUCCAGUGAGGGCAAAAGAAGGGCUCUGUAACAGAACCUUACCUCCAGGUGCUGUUGAAUUCUUCUAGCAGUCCUUCGCCCAAAAGUUCAAAUUUGUCAGUGACAUUUACCAAACAAACAAGCAGAGUUCACUAUUCUAUCUGCCAUUAGACCUUCUUAUCAUCCAUACUAAAGCCCCAUUAUUUAGAUUGAGCUUGUGCAAAAGAAUGCCAAGCAUUUCAGUGAACUAAAUCUGGGAGAAGGACUGCCAAAUUUUCUCAUGAUCUCACCUGUACUUUGGGGAUGAUAAUCCAAAAAGAUUUUACAGCACUAAUGCUGAUCAAAAUUUGCUCUCCCACCAAGAAAAUUUCAAAGACCACAAUUGUUCUUCAAAAACAAACAAAACAUAACAAAAUUAACUGCUUAAAUGUUUUGUCGGGGCAAACAAAAUUAUGUGAAUUGUGUUGUUUUCUUGGCUUGAUGUUUUCUAUCUACACUCGAUUCACAUGUACUCUUUUCUUUGGCAUAGUGCAACUUUAUGAUUUCUGAAAUUCAAUGGUUCUAUUGACUUUUUGCGUCACUUAAUCCAAAUCAACCAAAUUCAGGGUUGAAUCUGAAUUGCCUUCUCAGGCUCAAGGUAACAGUGUUCUUGUGAUUUUACCAAUUUUUUUUUUUUUUUUUUUUUUAGAUUUGUAGUAUUCUGGUCAAGUUAUCGUGCUGUACUUUGUGUGUAGAAAUUGAGUUGUAUUGUCAACCCCAGUCAGUAAAGAUAUCUUCAAAAAAUUAUCCUCAAGUGUAGAUUUCUCUUAAUUCCAUUUGUGUAUCAUGUUAAACUAUUGUUGUGGCUUCUUGUGUAAAGACGGGAACUGUGGAACUGUGAUGUUGUCUUUUGUGUUGUUAAAACAAGAAGUGUCUUACCUAUAUAUGUAUGAGUCCUCCUGUCAUUGUAUUUGGCAUAUGAAUAUUGUGUGCAAGGAAUUGUUAAGACUGGUUUUCCCUCAACAACAUAUAUUAUACUUGCUACUGGAAAAGUGUUUAAGACUUAGCUAGGUUUCCAUUUAGAUCUUCAUAUCUGUUGCAUGGAAGAAAGUUGGGUUCUUGGCAUAGAGUUGCAUGAUAUGUAAGUUUUGUGCAUUAAUAGUUGUUAAAAAUCUGUGUUCCAAAAGUGGACAUAGCAUGUACAGGCAGUUUUCUGUCCUGUGCACAAAAAGUUUAAAAAAGUUGUGUAAUAUUUGUUGUUGUAUACCCAAAUACGCACCAAAUAAACUCUUUAUAUUCAUUCAAAAAAAAA
rnacentral:lncRNA from 1 species